rnacentral:lncRNA from 1 species
UUUUAGCCAUACAGACUCUCUUGUGGGUUGGAAGAGCCAAGACAGUGGGAGGUUGAAAAGAGUGCCCAUUUCUCCAAGGAUCAGAACUGUGUUAGAACACUUAGAAAGACUGAUCGCUAAGAAGAGAUAGCCAACGAAAGAGCUAAUGAACAAGAUGUCGAGAUCCUUAAGAAUGAUGUAAUUGAAGACUUAAGGAGUGUGAUUUGGUAGAAACUUUAGCAACAUUUGGUUGGGAUGGC